UUUGGUAGAACAUCAUCUUCUAUGAAAUAUGUUCAUAAAACUGAAAUUGUUAAAAAAAUACCAUUUUAUGGUUAUCAUGAGAACGAAGAAGAGUUUAUUAAGAUGGAGUUGUACAAUCCAAGAAUAAUUCCCAAAAUGGAGCUAUAUUGAACAAUUCAUUUCAACCACACGAAGCUCAUGUUCCUUAUAUUCUACAGGUAAUUAUUGUUUUUU